rnacentral:rRNA from 1 species
GACGAACCGUGCGAACGUUAUUCGGAAUCACUGGGCUUAAAGGGCGCGUAGGCGGGCCGCCCGGUCCGGGGUGAAAUCCUGGAGCUCAACUCCAGAACUGCCUUCGAUACUGGCAAUCUCGAGUCCGGAAGAGGGUGAGUGGAACUCCUAGUGUAGAGGUGGAAUUCGUAGAUAUUAGGAAGAACACCAGUGGCGAAGGCGGCUCACUGGUCCGGUACUGACGCUGAGGUGCGAAAGCGUGGGGAGCAAACAGGGAUUAGAAAACCC